rnacentral:lncRNA from 1 species
UUUUAAUGUAAGAGACUCAUCUCAGGGAUCAGAAACAUAGUCCCGGCCAGCAACUUGCUCCUUGUUGAAACAGAACAGAACAGAAGCAAGCAACAAGAACACAACAAUGAUGGAUUGUCAGGCUAAUUUUGUGUUGAAAGUAAAUUUCUGCACGGACCUGGAGGCAGGAAGAGGUCACACCUGGCCCUGUGUCUACUGUACUCUAGGUGUGGAGCUACUGUCAGUCACAGGCACACCUUGGCCAAAUUACACACAGCCUAGCCUUUCAUUGACAUCAUUUACAAUCCUGAGACAGGACCUUACUUCCCAGGACAGCCUGGCAAUGAAGCAAGGGUCAUCUUCUAUCUCCAAGCAAUGUUGUCAUCAGUGGACCCUAUUUCACACAUGGGACAAUGAAAGAAGAUUCACCAUUCUCCUCUGGUAUCCUUUUAAGAAAAUGAAACAAAGUGUCCCUCAUGGCAGAAGGAGCCUGGCUGCUUGCAGAACCACACCAGAAGUAUUAAACCAAAAACACCAUUUCAAACUAACAGCAAAUGGGCUGCUAUUCAUGCUUGCCAAAACUCUCUUGGUCCAAGCAAUUCUACACAUCUCUGAGGCAAAGAAAAAUUCAAGAUAAAGGCAAUGAGAGAAGAGAAAACAUAAACCACACUAAGAGAAGGGAAGAGAGAUGCAUGAGAUUAGCGAAGUUCAGAGGGCCUGCAUCUUCACCAAUACAAAAUGAUGCAAUGGCAGAGACUGCUACAUUUUCAGUCAAUUUCUAACCAAUUUCUUAGCUCUUCGUGGAUGUGUAGCUCAACAUUAAGCCCAGUUUCUGAAACGUCACAGCAAAGCAACCAGACAGUUAAUACCCCACCAAGAAGAAACCAUAACAAACUGAGGGCAUUUAUCCUCCUUACUGCCUACCAGCUCUGUCCUUGACCCCGAAAGACCAAUUUUGAACAAAUAGUAAAUUCUGGAAGACAAUAUGGAAAGAUCAUUCAUUCAUUCAGCAGCAGAGAAGCCCAAGCAAAAAGAAACAUUUAGAAAGGGCAAGAUGUGCUAAAUUUGAUCGACAGGUUGCAGCAUCUUGAUAGCUGUUAUCUUUUUUGCAAGAUUUGCAAAAGCAUUCCUCUACUCCUGGUCAUCCCCAGGCAUCCAGCCCUUCACUUCCUGAAAUCUACAACUGUUGUGGAUGUGGCCAUCUAUUGCUAGUCCCCAGGAGUCUAAACAGCAAGUUAGCGACAUGGUGCUUGAAGGAAUCAGGGAUAAACAAACCAGGCUUCAGGUUAAGUCAACAAAAGUAUUCUCACUAUUGCUGAAAAGCCUCGUCACCAUAUUCUCUUGACACGGAGAAUCUGUAAGAGCUCUAAUGGAUUUCCUGAAUGAAGGAAACUCUCUGCUGCAGGCCAAACACAAUUUUUGAUUAACAUCCAAACAACUAGUCUAUCAUGAACACCCAGAUGGUUUCUGGUAAAGAAAUUCUUUCAUUUCCUUUUGGUUUCUAAUAAAAAAAUAAAGAAUUGAAUAACA